UACAGGGGUCCCAAGCGUUGUUCGGAUUCACUGGGCGUAAAGGGUGCGUAGGUGGCCGGGUAAGUCUGAUGUGAAAUCUCCGAGCUCAACUCGGAAAUGGCAUUGGAAACUAUCCGGCUCGAGGAGUGGAGGGGGGACUGGAAUACUUGGUGUAGCAGUGAAAUGCGUAGAUAUCAAGUGGAACACCAGUGGCGAAGGCGAGUCCCUGGACACUUCCUGACACUGAGGCACGAAAGCUAGGGGAGCAAACAGG
rnacentral:rRNA from 1 species